UUUCCGUAGGUGAACCUGCGGAAGGAUCAUUACUGAGUGAGGGCCCUCUCGGUCCAACCUCCCACCCGUGUUUAUUAUACCUUGUUGCUUCGGUUAGCCCGCCUCACGGCCGCCGGGGGGCAUCUGCCCCCGGGCCCGCGCCCACCGAAGACACCUAGAACUCUGUAUCAAGAUUGCAGUCUGAGCAAAAACUAAAUAAGUUAAAACUUUCAACAACGGAUCUCUUGGUUCCG
rnacentral:misc_RNA from 1 species